rnacentral:rRNA from 1 species
GACGAACGCUGGCGGCGUGCUUAACACAUGCAAGUCGAACGGAAAGGCCUCUUCGGAGGUACUCGAGUGGCGAACGGGUGAGUAACACGUGGGUGAUCUGCCCUGCACUCUGGGAUAAGCCUGGGAACCUGGGUCUAAUACCGGAUAGGCCCGCACUUUAGUGUGUGUGGUGGCAAGUUUUUUCGGUGUAGGAUGAGCCCGCGGCCUAUCAGCUUGUUGGUGGGGUAAUGGCCUACCAAGGCGGCGACGGGUAGCCGGACUGAGAGGUUGGUGAGCCACAUUGGGACUGAGAAACGGCCCAGACUGCGACGGGAGGCAGCAGUGGGGAAUAUUGCACAAGGGGCGCAAGCCUGAUGCAGCGAGGCGGCGUGGGGGAGGACGGCCUUCGGGUUGGAGACGCCGGUCGCCAGGGACGAAGCGUUGUGUGACGGUACCUGGAGAAGAAGCACCGGCUAACUACGUG